GGGACCCACUGCUCUUGGGUCCUGCGUCGGGAUCCAUUUCGCUUGGGUCCUUUGUAGGACCCAAUUCUAUUGGGUCCUAUAUUAGGACUCAAGGUUCUUGGGUCUU
rfam:Populus trichocarpa scaffold_1_contig_60, whole genome shotgun sequence.